rnacentral:lncRNA from 1 species
AGGAGGAUGCUGGCACUUCAGCAGAGCCUACAGCUCCGGGGGAAUGUUCUAGUGCCAACGUGCCUGAACCCCCGGUGGCCGUGGACAAUGACUUCAAGUGCAUGGGCUGCUGCCAGAUCUUCCCCAGCUUAGAGGUCCUUCAGAAGCAUGUGGAGCACGGGAUUGAGCAGGGCUUUAGCUGCCAUGCUUUCCAUCUUGCCAUGGCUUUCCUACAGAGCAAGAAGAACAAGAAAAAGAAGAAGAAGAAGAUCAAGAAGACAACAUCUACAUUCCAGUAAGAAAAAUAUUUUAGCACGAAAACCACGUUGUGCAAGUAAACAGAUUUUUUUUUUUUUCCCCAGCCCCGAAAAGGGAGGAAGUAAAGCAGGCCAGACUCUACUGAGAGGGCUUCACCUUUGCCAUCCAGGCAUAGUACCUGCCUUUGUUUAUGCAUAUCUCCACCCCCACCACUACCACCACACCCCUAGUAGGAGCAGAGACUCACUUUUAACACUAUCUACUGCUGUCCUGAGAAGGAGGGAGAAGAAGGCUGAUCAUACCACGCAGAAGAGCACGAUUUCCUCACAUAAACUAAAGAACAGUGAACACCAGUUUAUCAUCUCCAGCACCACAACUGAGGAAAGGAGACUCAUUUCAAGAGGAAACUGCUGUGGGCCAGACUGCACAAGAGGAGACUCUACCUUCUGGCCAAAUAUGUGGGCAAGUAAGUCAGACUAG